rnacentral:lncRNA from 1 species
UGAUAAUACAUAGGCACGAGGAUGUGAAUCCUUGGUGAUAAAUUUUCUUUCUUUUUUCCCUUUCUCUCUCUGGUUCUCCGAACUACGGAGCUCUGACUUUCUUAUUGAACCAUGAGAAUACGUAGGCAUGAGGGCCUCAAUCCUCUUCGAGCACCCUUUUCCUAACCCAUUUUCCGUUUUGCAAGUACAUGAAAAUAUCAACACUCAUCCAAGCAAGAAUAUUCAAGACGGUUCCCAUCGAGUGUCUUGGAUGUGAGGGGUGCUAAUAC